rnacentral:rRNA from 1 species
UUGUCCAGGGGGCCGCCUUCGCCACCGGUAUUCCUCCAGAUCUCUACGCAUUUCACCGCUACACCUGGAAUUCUACCCCCCUCUACAAGACUCUAGUUUGCCAGUUCGAAAUGCAAUUCCCAGGUUGAGCCCGGGGCUUUCACAUCUCGCUUAACAAACCGCCUGCGCACGCUUUACGCCCAGUAAUUCCGAUUAACGCUUGGACCCUCCGUAUUACCGCGGCUGCUGGCACGGAGUUAGCCGGUCCUUCUUCUGUAGGUAACGUCACAGCUGCAAGGUAUUAACUUACAACCUUUCCUCCCUACUGAAAGUGCUUUACAACCCGAAGGCCUUCUUCACACACGCGGCAUGGCUGCAUCAGGGUUUCCCCCAUUGUGCAAUAUUCCCCACUGCUGCCUCCCGUAGGAGUCUGGGCCGUGUCUCAGUCCCAGUGUGGCUGAUCAUCCUCUCAGAACAGCUAGGGAUCGUCGCCUUGGUGAGCCAUUACCUCACCAACUAGCUAAUCCCACCUAGGUUCAUCCAAUCGCGGAAGGCCCGAAGGUCCCCUCCUUUCCCCCGUAGGGCGUAUGCGGUAUUAGCAGUCGUUUCCAACUGUUAUCCCCCACGACUGGGCAGAUCCCUAGGCAUUACUCACCCGUCCGCCGCUCGCCACCUCAGGAGUAAACUCCCUUGUGCUGCCGCUCGACUUGCAUGUGUUAGGCCUGCCGCC